rnacentral:rRNA from 1 species
GACGAACGCUGGCGGCGUGCUUAACACAUGCAAGUCGAGCGGAGCGGCGACCGGGUGAGUAACGCGUGAGUAACUGCCCCCCUCUCUGGGAUAACAGUUGGACACGGCUGUUAAUACCGGAUAGUGGGGGAUGACUCGCGUCCUAUCAGCUUGGUGGUGGGGGCUGGGCCUACCAAGGCGGUGACGGGUAGCCGGCCUGAGAGGGUGACCGGCCACAUUGGGCGUAGAUACGGCCCAGACUACUACGGGGUGCAGCAGUGGGGGAUAGUGCACAAUGGGCGAAAGCCUGAUGCAGCGACGCCGCGUGGGGGAUGAAGGCUUUCGGUUUGUAAACCUCUUUCGCUAUCGAAAGGGUAGGUGGAGAAGAAGCGCCGGCUAACUACGGGCCAGCAGCCGCGGUAAUAC